rnacentral:rRNA from 1 species
GUUGCGGUUAAAAAGCUCGUAGUUGGAUUUCUGUCGGAGACGCGCGGUCCGCACUAUGUGCGUGUAUCUGUGUCGGCUCUGGCAUCCUCCUGGGGAACGGUGCUGCGCUUGAUUGCGUGGUCCGGUAUUCAGGACUUUUACUUUGAGGAAAUUAGAGUGUUUACGGCAGGCAAGCGCCUUGAAUAUAUUAGCAUGGAAUAAUAACAUAGGACUUUGGUUCUAUUUUGUUGGUUUCUAGAACUAAGGUAAUGAUUAAUAGGGAUAAUUGGGGGCAUUCGUAUUAACACGUCAGAGGUGAAAUUCUUGGAUUGUGUUACGACGAACUACUGCGAAAGCAUUUGCCAAGGAUGUUUUCAUUGAUCAAGAACGAAAGUGCGGGGAUCGAAGACGAUUAGAUACCGUCGUAGUCUGCACCAUAA